CAUAAAUGAUGAUCCUGAGAAUGGUUUCGCUUACUGGACUGAUGUCUGGUGAUGUCACAUUUCUCUUGGCUGUCUGAUCAG